rnacentral:rRNA from 1 species
AGGGCACCACCAGGAGUGGAGCCUGCGGCUUAAUUUGACUCAACACGGGGAAACUUACCCGGCCUGGACACUGGAAGGAUUGACAGAUUGAGAGCUCUUUCUUGAUUCAGUGGGUGGUGGUGCAUGGCCGUUCUUAGUUGGUGGAGCGAUUUGUCUGGUUAAUUCCGAUAACGAACGAGACUCUAGCCUAUUAAAUAGGCUCUCGGCUUUUAAACGCCGGGAGGACUUCUUAGAGGGACAGGUGGCGGUUCAGCCGCACGAAAGAGAGCAAUAACAGGUCUGUGAUGCCCUUUGUUGUCCGGGGCCGCACGCGCGCUACACUGAAGAGAUCGGCGUGCUUUACGUUCCUGCUCCGACCGGAGUGGGGAACCCAGUGAACCUUCUUCUUGACUGGGAUAGAAGAUUGUAAUUAUUCUUCUUGAACAAGGUAUUCCCAGUUAAUGCGAGUCAUAAGCUCGCGUUGAUUACAUCCCUGCCCUUUCUACACACCGCCCGUCGCUACUACCGAUUGAAAGAUUU